CCCGGAAUCGAACCGGGGGCCCAUCGAUGGCAACGAUGGAUUUACCACUAAAC
rnacentral:tRNA from 1 species